rnacentral:rRNA from 1 species
GACGAACGCUGGCGGCGUGCUUAACACAUGCAAGUCGAACGAAGAGCGAUGGAAGCUUGCUUCUAUCAAUCUUAGUGGCGAACGGGUGAGUAACGCGUAAUCAACCUGCCCUUCAGAGGGGGACAACAGUUGGAAACGACUGCUAAUACCGCAUACGAUCUAAUCUCGGCAUCGAGGAAAGAUGAAAGGUGGCCUCUAUUUAUAAGCUAUCACUGAAGGAGAGGAUUGCGUCUGAUUAGCUAGUUGGAGGGGUAACGGCCCACCAAGGCGAUGAUCAGUAGCCGGUCUGAGAGGAUGAACGGCCACAUUGGGACUGAGACACGGCCCAGACUCCUACGGGAGGCAGCAGUGGGGAAUCUUCCGCAAUGGACGAAAGUCUGACGGAGCAACGCCGCGUGAGUGAUGACGGCCUUCGGGUUGUAAAGCUCUGUUAAUCGGGACGAAAGGCCUUCUUGCGAACAGUUAGAAGGAUUGACGGUACCGGAAUAGAAAGCCACGGCUAACUACGUG